rnacentral:rRNA from 1 species
CCUACGGGAGGCAGCAGUGAGGAAUAUUGGUCAAUGGCCGGAAGGCUGAACCAGCCAUGCCGCGUGAAGGUCAGUGCCCUAUGGGCGUUAAACCUCUUUUGUGCGGGAGCAAUAAUGGUCACGUGUGGCCAGACGAGAGUACCGUACGAAUAAGCAUCGGCUAACUCCGUGCCAGCAGCCGCGGUAAUACGGGGGAUGCAAGCGUUAUACGGGUUUAUUGGGUUUAAAGGGUGCGUAGGCUGUGAGGUAAGUCAGCGGUGAAAUGCCCCCGCUCAACGGGGUGAAGUGCCAUUGAUACUGCCUUGCUGGAAUGCGGAUGCGGUGUGAGGAAUGUGUGGUGUAGCGGUGAAAUGCAUAGAUAUCACACAGAACACCGAUUGCGAAGGCAUCUCACGAAUCCGCGAUUGACGCUGAUGCACGAAAGCGUGGGUAUCAAACAGGAUUAGAUACCCCUGUAGUC